rnacentral:rRNA from 1 species
GUUAGGAAUAUUGGACAAUGGGCGCAAGCCUGAUCCAGCCAUGCCGCGUGAGUGAUGAAGGCCUUCGGGUUGUAAAGCUCUUUAGUCCACGAAUAUAAUGACUGUAGUGGAAGAAUAAGCCCCGGCUAACUUCGUGCCAGCAGCCGCGGUAAUACGAAGGGGGCGAGCGUUAUUCGGAAUCACUGGGCGUAAAGCGUGCGUCGGCUGUUUUGUAAGUCAGAAGUGAAAGCCCAGGGCUUAACCCUGGAAUUGCUUUUGAAACUACAAGACUCGAAUUCGGGAGAGGAUAGCGGAAUUGUCAGUGUAGCAGUGAAAUGCGUAGAUAUUGACAGGAACACCAGUGGCGCAAGCGGCUAUCUGGACCGAUAUUGACGCUGAGGCACGAAAGCGUGGGGAGCAAACAGGAUUAGAUACCCGUGUAGUCC